GACCGAUAGCGCGGCAAGUUUCUUGAACCGUGUAUAUAGCUUCGUUUCGUACGGCGCAUCCGUACUACGCCGAUCGAGAGAUUACGCGAGAAGACCACCCAUGAAACGAUACAAGUUUACUUGGCUGACCGAACAGAUAAUAUCGAUCGACUUGGAGAUAACUUAUCGAAUGGAACGGGAUUUUGGAAUCACGUAGCUUUUGCUCGGAGCGAAGUAAAUUUCAUGUGUUCCCGCGAAAUGCAAUGUUUUAUGUAUAAUGCAUGUGUAUAAAGUUCCCAUAUAGAGUUAUAAAAUGGAAUAAAUAACGUUUCCUAAUAAAA